rnacentral:rRNA from 1 species
UACGUAGGGGGCUAGCGUUGUCCGGAAUCAUUGGGCGUAAAGAGCGCGUAGGCGGCCAGAUAAGUCCGGUGUGAAAGUCAAAGGCUCAACCUUUGAAUGCCGCUGGAAACUGUCUGGCUAGAGUCCGGGAGGGGCGAGUGGAAUUCCUGGUGUAGCGGUGAAAUGCGCAGAUAUCAGGAGGAACACCAAUGGCGAAGGCAGCUCGCUGGAACGGUACUGACGCUGAGGCGACGAAAGCGUGGGGAGCAAACAGG